CUACGGGGUGCUCCAGUGGGGAAUAUUGCACAAUGGAGGAAACUCUGAUGCAGCAACGCCGCGUGGAGGAUGACACUUUUCGGAGCGUAAACUCCUUUUAUAUAGGAAGAAGAUGACGGUACUAUAUGAAUAAGCGCCGGCUAACUCCGUGCCAGCAGCCGCGGUAAUACGGAGGGCGCAAGCGUUACUCGGAAUCACUGGGCGUAAAGAGCGUGUAGGCGGAUUAAAAAGUCAGAAGUGAAAUCCUAUAGCUUAACUAUAGAACUGCUUCUGAAACUCUUAAUCUAGAAUAUGGGAGAGGUAGAUGGAAUUUCUGGUGUAGGGGUAAAAUCCGUAGAGAUCAGAAGGAAUACCGAUUGCGAAGGCGAUCUCCUGGAACAUAACUGACGCUAAGGCGUGAAGGCGUGGGGAGCAAACAGGAUUAGAUACCCUAGUAGUC
rnacentral:rRNA from 1 species